UGGAAAGCCUUGAUGAGAAGAGUAGCGCAUUGGUAUUUGCUUAAGAGAGCCCUGGUUUGGUGUGACAGGGUGCAGUUAAUGCAGUGAAAAUGACCUCGGAGCAUGUGCCCGGUAAAAAGGACACACGGCAGCAACCGUUAUAUUGCAUAAGGUGGCUUUGUCACCUUUCGAGGCGUAAUCCGUGAGGCUUGCGCGAACUGGAGUGGUAACACGUUUAAAGACGUCUCUAUG
rnacentral:ncRNA from 1 species